rnacentral:rRNA from 1 species
GACAGAGGCCUCGAGCGUUAGGCGGAAUCACUGGGCUUAAAGCGUGCGCAGGCGGUCUGUUAAGACCGAUGUGAAAUCCCCGGGCUUAACCUGGGAACUGCAUUGGUGACUGGCAGGCUUUGAGUGUGGCAGAGGGAGGUAGAAUUCCACGUGUAGUAGUGAAAUGCGUAGAGAUGUGGAGGAAUACCGAUGGCGAAGGCAGCCUCCUGGGCCAACACUGACGCUCAUGCACGAAAGCGUGGGGAGCAAACAGG